rnacentral:rRNA from 1 species
CCGGCGCACGGGUGAGUAACGCGUAUCCAACCUGCCCACCACUUGGGGAUAACCUUGCGAAAGUAAGACUAAUACCCAAUGAUAUCUCUAGAAGACAUCUGAAAGAGAUUAAAGAUUCAUCGGUGAUGGAUGGGGAUGCGUCUGAUUAGCUUGUUGGCGGGGUAACGGCCCACCAAGGCAACGAUCAGUAGGGGUUCUGAGAGGAAGGUCCCCCACAUUGGAACUGAGACACGGUCCAA